GACGAACGCUGGCGGCGUGCCUAAUACAUGCAAGUCGAACGCACAGUUUAUACCGUAGCUUGCUACACCAUAAACUGUGAGUUGCGAACGGGUGAGUAACGCGUAGGUAACCUGCCUGGUAGCGGGGGAUAACUAUUGGAAACGAUAGCUAAUACCGCAUAAUAUUAAUUAUUGCAUGAUAAUUGAUUGAAAGAUGCAAUUGCAUCACUACCAGAUGGACCUGCGUUGUAUUAGCUAGUAGGUGAGGUAACGGCUCACCUAGGCGACGAUACAUAGCCGACCGGAGAGGGUGAGCGGCCAAACUGGGACGGAGACACGGCCCAGAGUCCUACGGGAGGCAGCAGUAGGGAAUCUUCGGCAAUGGACGAAAGUCUGACCGAGCAACGCCGCGUGAGUGAAGAAGGUUGUCGGAUCGUAAAGCUCGGUUGUAAGAGAAGAACGGGUGUGAGAGUGGAAAGUUCACACUGUGACGGUAUCUGACCAGAAAGGGACGGCUAACUACGUG
rnacentral:rRNA from 1 species